GACGAACGCUGGCGGCGUGCUUAACACAUGCAAGUCGAACGGAAAGGCCCUGCUUUUGUGGGGUGCUCGAGUGGCGAACGGGUGAGUAACACGUGAGUAACCUGCCCUUGACUUUGGGAUAACUUCAGGAAACUGGGGCUAAUACCGGAUAGGAGCUCCUGCUGCAUGGUGGGGGUUGGAAAGUUUCGGCGGUUGGGGAUGGACUCGCGGCUUAUCAGCUUGUUGGUGGGGUAGUGGCUUACCAAGGCUUUGACGGGUAGCCGGCCUGAGAGGGUGACCGGCCACAUUGGGACUGAGAUACGGCCCAGACUCCUACGGGAGGCAGCAGUGGGGAAUAUUGCACAAUGGGCGGAAGCCUGAUGCAGCAACGCCGCGUGCGGGAUGAAGGCCUUCGGGUUGUAAACCGCUUUCUCCUGUGACGAAGCGUGAGUGACGGUAAUGGGUAAAGAAGCACCGGCUAACUACGUG
rnacentral:rRNA from 1 species